UACAGAGGUCUCAAGCGUUGUUCGGAUUCAUUGGGCGUAAAGGGUGCGUAGGCGGUGAGGUAAGUUGGAUGUGAAAUCCCGGGGCUUAACCCCGGAACUGCAUUCAAUACUGCCUUGCUAGAGUACUGGAGAGGAGAUUGGAAUUCACGGUGUAGCAGUGAAAUGCGUAGAUAUCGUGAGGAAGACCAGUGGCGAAGGCGAAUCUCUGGACCGGUACUGACGCUGAGACGCGAAAGCCAGGGGAGCAAACGGG
rnacentral:rRNA from 1 species